GGUACCUGAUACAUUAUCCCAAAGGUGCAUCAGUACUUAUCAAGGAACAUCACACAAUCCAUUCAAACAUUUUAAGUAUCAUUUCUAGACUUUGAUUUGAAAUGAUGAAUCUAUUGAAUUGAAUUGAGCUUAGAACACUUCCCUUUUGUUUUGGUGAGUUCCCACUCGGCCAUUGCACCGUCUCCAUGGCAUCAUCAACUUCUUGGAAAGGCAGAAUGGAUUCAUCAGCUUCUCAUCUUCACUUCACCAUAGAAGCCGCUUUGAUGAGUUCACGUUCACCCUUAGACUGCCUAGAAUAGCUCCGGCUG
rnacentral:lncRNA from 1 species